UACGAAGGGGGGCUAGCGUUGUUCGGAAUUACUGGGCGUAAAGCGCGCGUAGGCGGCUAUCCAAGUCAGAGGUGAAAGCCCUGGGCUCAACCCAGGAAUUGCCUUUGAAACUGUUUAGCUAGAGUGUCGGAGGGGAUAGCGGAAUUCCUAAUGUAGAGGUGAAAUUCGUAGAUAUUAGGAGGAACACCGGUGGCGAAGGCGGCUAUCUGGACGACAACUGACGCUGAGGCGCGAAAGCGUGGGGGAUCAAACA
rnacentral:rRNA from 1 species